rnacentral:rRNA from 1 species
AUACGGAGGAUCCGAGCGUUAUCCGGAUUUAUUGGGUUUAAAGGGUGCGCAGGCGGCCAUUUAAGUCAGCGGUUAAAUCGCGGGGCUCAACCCCAUUCUGCCGUUGAUACUGGGUGGCUUGAUUGCGGUCGAGGUUGGCGGAAUUCGUUGUGUAGCGGUGAAAUGCAUAGAUAUGACGAAGAACACCGAUUGCGUAGGCAGCUGACCAGACCGCAAAUGACGCUCAUGCACGAAAGUGCGGGGAUCGAACAGGAUUAGAUACCCUGGUAGUCCGCACAGUAAACGAUGAAUACUUGUUUUCGGCGAUAUAAUGUCGGAGGCAAAGCGAAAGCGAUAAGUAUUCCACCUGGGGAGUACGCCGGCAACGGUGAAACUUAAAGGAAUUGACGGGG